CCUACGGGAGGCAGCAGUGGGGAAUAUUGCACAAUGGGGGAAACCCUGAUGCAGCGACGCCGCGUGAGUGAAGAAGUAUUUCGGUACGUAAAGCUCUAUCAGCAGGGAAGAAAAUGACGGUACCUGACUAAGAAGCCCCGGCUAACUACGUGCCAGCAGCCGCGGUAAUACGUAGGGGGCAAGCGUUAUCCGGAUUUACUGGGUGUAAAGGGAGCGUAGACGGCAGCGCAAGUCUGGAGUGAAAUCCCAUGGCUUAACCAUGGAACUGCUUUGGAAACUGUGCAGCUAGAGUGCAGGAGAGGUAAGCGGAAUUCCUAGUGUAGCGGUGAAAUGCGUAGAUAUUAGGAGGAACACCAGUGGCUAAGGCGGCUUACUGGACUGUAACUGACGUUGAGGCUCGAAAGCGUGGGGAGCAAACAGGAUUAGAUACCCCAGUAGUC
rnacentral:rRNA from 1 species